rnacentral:rRNA from 1 species
GACGAACGCUGGCGGCGUGCCUAAUACAUGCAAGUUGAGCGCUGAAGGUUGGUACUUGUACCAACUGGAUGAGCAGCGAACGGGUGAGUAACGCGUGGGGAAUCUGCCUUUGAGCGGGGGACAAUAUUUGGAAACGAAUGCUAAUACCGCAUAAAAACUUUAAACACAAGUUUUAAGUUUGAAAGAUGCAAUUGCAUCACUCAAAGAUGAUCCCGCGUUGUAUUAGCUAGUUGGUGACGUAAAGGCUCACCAAGGCGAUGAUACAUAGCCGACCUGAGAGGGUGAUCGGCCACAUUGGGACUGAGACACGGCCCAAACUCCUACGGGAGGCAGCAGUAGGGAAUCUUCGGCAAUGGACGAAAGUCUGACCGAGCAACGCCGCGUGAGUGAAGAAGGUUUUCGGAUCGUAAAACUCUGUUGGUAGAGAAGAACGUUGGUGAGAGUGGAAAGCUCAUCAAGUGACGGUAACUACCCAGAAAGGGACGGCUAACUACGUG